UGUGUGUGUGUGUAUACAGACAUUGUAAUAGAACAUAGAGGCUCAGUUAAUAACAUAGAUGUUAAGGUAUUAUCAAUGCAUAGAACUGACACAACACUUAGAUAGAUUACAGAGGCCACACACAUACUAAUAGACAGACCAAGCCUUAACAGAAAAUACAAAUGGAAUAAUAACACCACCACCACCACACCAU